rnacentral:rRNA from 1 species
UGAACGCUAGCGGCAGGCUUAACACAUGCAAGUCGAGGGGUAACAUUGUGCUUGCACAGAUGACGACCGGCGCACGGGUGCGUAACGCGUAUAGAACCUACCUUUUACAGAGGAAUAGCCUUUAGAAAUGAAGAUUAAUGCCUCAUAGUAUUGUAGACUGGCAUCAGUUUAUAAUUAAAGAUUUAUCGGUAAAAGAUGGCUAUGCGUCCUAUUAGUUAGUUGGUAAGGUAACGGCUUACCAAGACAGCGAUAGGUAGGGGUCCUGAGAGGGAGAUCCCCCACACUGGUACUGAGACACGGACCAGACUCCUACGGGAGGCAGCAGUGAGGAAUAUUGGACAAUGGAGGAGACUCUGAUCCAGCCAUGCCGCGUGUAGGAAGAAUGCCCUAUGGGUUGUAAACUACUUUUAUACAGGAAGAAACACUGGUAUGUAUACCAGCUUGACGGUACUGUAAGAAUAAGGACCGG